GACGAACGCUGGCGGCGUGCUUAGCACAUGCAAGUGGAGCGACGAACCAAGGCUUGCCCUGGGGCAGAGCCGCGAACGGGUGAGUAACACGUGGGUAACGUGCCCCGAUGACUGGGACAACCCGUGGAAACCCGGGCUAAUACCGGAUGUGCCCCCUCACAUCAGUGAGGUGUGUAAAGGAAGCUUCGGCCUCCGCAUCGGGAUCGGCCCGCGGCCCAUUAGCUUGUUGGUGAGGUAACGGCCUAACCAGGCUGCGAUGGGUAGCUGUUCUGAGAGGACGAUCAGCCACACUGGGACUGAGACACGGCCCAGACUCCUAAGGGAGGCAGCAGUGGGGAAUCUUGCGCAAUGCGCGAAAGCGUGACGCAGCAACGCCGCGUGGGGGAAGACGGCCUUCGGGUUGUAAACCCCUUUCAGUUGGGACGAAGGUCGGGCGGUUAACAGCCGUUCCGGCUGACGGUACCUUCACAAGAAGCCCCGGCUAACUACGUG
rnacentral:rRNA from 1 species